CUGAAGCUGAUUCUGGGGUAAUCAAGUUGAGGAUUUAAUCUCCACUCAGACUCUCCUUCACCGCCAGUUUGUCAAUGUCCUCAUUUUCCCUGGACCUUCUUCGCCACUGCCUUCAACCUCAGCUCUUGUUGGAUUACCUCCGCAUUCAGGAAAAUACAGAGAAUCUCACCUUCCUGCUCUCCCACUAUCAAUCACCACCUCGGACGCAGUGGAACUUAGGUCAGCCAGCCUUUGCCAAUACCCUCAAGCCAAGCUCACCCAGGCUAUCAACGCACCUGCUCCAUUCCUGUCGCUACUGUCAAUUCCCAGCUCACUCUCACUGAUCCACGGCCACAUCACUACUCUUUGCUACGAGUUGAUCUGUUUUCUUAAUAAGACAUUGUAAAAGUA